ACGUGAGGCUCUUGUGUUUUUGCUAUUGGCCAUUUUUGUUCGUGAUUUAGCUUGGUCGGCUGAUUCUCUAUGUAAAGCUUGGUUUACCACAAUGUAAUAUUUCUGCAAGCUAU